rnacentral:rRNA from 1 species
CGGACGGGGGAGUAAUGUCUGGGAAACUGCCUGAUGGAGGGGGAUAACUACUGGAAACGGUAGCUAAUACCGCAUAACGUCGCAAGACCAAAGAGGGGGACCUUAGGGCCUCUUGCCAUCGGAUGUGCCCAGAUGGGAUUAGCUAGUAGGUGGGGUAACGGCUCACCUAGGCGACGAUCCCUAGCUGGUCUGAGAGGAUGACCAGCCACACUGGAACUGAGACACGGUCCAG